ensembl:lncRNA
UUUUUUUUUUUUUUUUUUUUAAAGAUAAUAAAAUAACAGUACAGAUUCGUAAAAUUCACUGAGCAUUUAGCACUUCAUCUUUUUUUCUUUCCUUUCUUGUCUCUUCAGGACCAUUGUUAAUACUAUAGCAAACCUAUUAGUGUGUUAUAAAGUUACCAGCUGUGACCAAACAUACUUUUAUUUGCUUCUUUGUAUAUCUAGGUUAUAUUAUUGAAAUGGAUAGAUCUCUUACUAUUCCGACGGCAAACAUGUAUGAAUCCGACCAAUCAUAUUUCUAUUGUUGAAACCCCCCCCCCAAAAAAAAGAAAAACCCUAUAUAUGAUACCAGGUAUUUAUCUUUUAUCUCAGUAGUGCUCGGAUGAGUGUUACACAUUUGGAACUUCAGUACACAAAGGAUGGUGCUUACAAUGACUCCUCAUACACAUACAAAAUGUCUAUAUUGAAAAUUGCUUUUUACUAUUGCCAACUUUAUAUAUUUUGCAGCAUGAAACAAAAUAAUUCUAAAUGUACAUAAGUUUCUGUGUCAUUCCUUCCCGACAGACGGAUGAUAAUUUUCUGAAUUUGUUUCCUAGCUUGCAUGAAUAGCAGUUGCAUUUUUUUCAAUGCUGAACUUAAUAAAAGCUCAGACAGAGGACAAGAUAUGUAACAUUUCAUAAUAACUGCUGAAAUUCUAUAACUUGAGUGCAGACAGGGCUGGUGAAGAAAGGAGAGGAUCCAGCAUCACAAGUCCUGGUGCAGCAUUCCAAGAAUGGAGGACUAGCGACCCAAUGUGGCAAAGCCAAUUGUUGCACCCAGGGUCGCAGAGGAAAUUCUGGAUGCUUGGCUAUUACAAAGGAUUUUUGAAAGGCUCUUUAUUUUUGUGAACUGGAUUCAGAAUCAACCACUGAGCACCUACUGUGGUCUAGAUAAAUUUAUAUACCUGUUACUUCAACAUCUUUUGUUUUUAGGUUGACAUACCUGAUAUAUUGGUUCAGGGGAAAUUUUACAAGCAUUGAUAGUUUUGAUAUGCUGUGCCCUUGAGAACUGAAAUAACAGACAAUAACCUUGAGUUGUUGUUGCUGUUUAAUCUGACUAGUUAUUGAUAACAUUAAUAUAGGCUGAGCCAACACUUUAAACAUUUUAGACAACAGGGGAGAAAUAUCACUACUCAAAAAACCCCAACCUUCGUAUAUUUUAUAUUUCAUAAAGCAGAUUUUGCUGGGUUAGUACUUUUGUUUUAAUGUACUUUCAACUAGUUUUCCUAAGAAUGGAAGAUUGGGAGGCCAAGGCAGGCAGAUAUUUUGAGGCCAGGAGUCCGAGACCAGCCUGGCCAACGUGGUGAAACUCCUUCUCUACUAAAAAUACAAAAAUUAGCUGGUUGUGGUGGCACAUGCCUGUAAUCCUAACUACUGGGAAGACUGAGGCAGGAGAAUCAAUUGAACCUGGGAGAUGGAGGUUGCAGUGAGCCGAGACCAUGCCACUGCACUCUAGUCUGGGUGACAGAGCAAGACUCUGUUUCACAAAAAAAAAAAAAAAAAAAAAAAAAAAAAAAAAAAAGAAGAAUCAAAGAAAACAAACUGCUAUGCUGUAAGUCAAUGGAAAUAACGUCAUGAAUGUGGAGAAUGCCCGUCCCCUGACAUAGUUCUCUUAGAAGCCUGAAUAGAUUUUCUUUCUGAACAAUCCCAUCCUCCAGCAAUUCAAUACUUCAGGGCUAAUAAUCUUAGUGUCCUAUUACAUUUUUUAUUGAUUAAAAUUUAUUAAAGACUUCAAAAGUGUGCACUUCUAUCUGUGUCAACAUGUGAUUUGUCCUGAAACAUCAGAUGUACUGUGAAGUUUAUUUCCUUUGAAAUUCAUUUCAAUGGCUUAUUAUUAAAUGAAGCCGUGGUUCCAAUGGGACAUCAAGAGAUCAAGCCAACCUGAAAUUACAAAUGAACAAACACACGAAUGACCAGUCUAGUAUUUUUCCAAAUUAUCAAAUGGUGCAAAACCUGACUUUAAGCAAAAUCAUGUAAGUGUGACUUUCUUCUUCUUUGUGCUUACGAUUCUCCUGCACAGUGUGGUUACUCUGCACACAGUUCAGGACAGUCUUAAAUCUGGGGAGGAGACAGUCCCAUCUCAGGCUUUCCAGAGGCUAGGGGGUGUGGUCCUCAUCAACCCUUUUGAACCGUUUUGUUUUCUGAUAAACGCUGAACAAGUGGAACAAAUAUUUUACUCUCUUAGCCUAGAUAGGUAUUUUACUUCUAGGACAUAUUAUCUUCAAAUAUGAGAGAUGUUGGAGAUAGUAUUGAAGAGAGAUAUCAAUGUUCAGCAAUAUCAAAAUCUAGUUAAUUUGCUGUAUAUAAAUUACUUGGCAUUUAAAUGCUACAUUGAUUUAAAUGGAUAACUGUGUAUUAUAAACUCACAAAUAGCAUCUCUUCAAUAUUUAAUUAUUAGAAAGCAUCUCAAUAUUUUAUAACUCUUCAGCUACUAGUCAAACACAUCAUAAAAACAGAUUGGAAGAAGAAAUAUUUGGGGAUUUGAUAUACGUCUACAGUGACAGCUAUAAUAAUGGGGACAACAGUUGACAUAGGGUACUUAUGCAUGCUAUGCUGUUUAUAUCACAUGUGUUAGCUCAGAUUUGCAAACUUUUCUUGUAAAGGGUCCAGUAAUAAAUGUAUUCUCCAGUUUAGUGGGACAUAUAGUCUCUGUCUCCCAACUACUCAACUCUACCCUUACAGAGCAAAAGUAGUCAUAAAUGGAUAAGCAUGGGCUGUGUCCUAAUAAAACUUAGUUUAAGGUCACUGAAGUGUGAAUUUCGUAUCGUUUUUUUUCUCUUUCUCUCUUUCUUGGACUUGCUUUGUCACCCAGGCUGGAGUGCAUUGGGGAGAUCACGGCUUACUGUAGCUUUACAUUCCCGGGCUCAAGCCAUCCUCUCACCCUAGUCUCCAGAGUAGCUAGGGGGGAUGUACCACCAUACCCAGAUAAUUUUUAAAUUUUUUUGUAAAGACGGAGAGGGGUGGGUGGUCUCCCUGUGU